rnacentral:rRNA from 2 species
GCUGAAUGUGGGGAUAAUUUAUCUCCGUGUUGUAGCUAACGCGUUAAGCACUCCGCCUGGGGACUACGGUCGCAAGACUAAAACUCAAAGGAAUUGACGGGGACCCGCACAAGCGGUGGAGCAUGUGGUUUAAUUCGAUGCAACGCGAAAAACCUUACCACUCCUUGACAUGGAGAUUAGAUCCUUCUUAACAGAAGGGCGCAGUUCGGCUGGAUCUCGCACAGGUGCUGCAUGGCUGUCGUCAGCUCGUGUCGUGAGAUGUUGGGUUAAGUCCCGCAACGAGCGUAACCCUCAUCCUUAGUUGCCAGCGGGUUAAGCCGGGCACUUUAAGGAAACUGCCAGUGGUAAACUGGAGGAAGGUGGGGAUGAUGUCAAGUCAGCACGGCCCUUAUGGGGUGGGCUACACACGUGCUACAAUGGUGACUACAAUAGGUUGCAAUGUCGCAAGGCUGAGCUAAUCCGUAAAAGUCAUCUCAGUUCGGAUUGUCCUCUGCAACUCGAGGGCAUGAAGUCGGAAUCGCUAGUAAUCGUGGAUCAGCAUGCCACGGUGAAUACGUUCUCGGGUCUUGUACACACUGCCCGUCACGCCAUGGGAAUUGGCUUAACUCGAAGCUGGUGCGCUAACCGAAAGGAAGCAGCCAU